AGAGUUUGAUCCUGGCUCAGAACGAACGCUGGCGGCAGGCUUAACACAUGCAAGUCGAACGAGUAAGUGCUGUAGCAAUACAGAUUACUGCUAGUGGCGCACGGGUGAGUAACACGUGGGAAUAUGCCCUUUAGUUCGGAAUAACAGCGGGAAACUGCUGCUAAUACCGGAUACGCCCUUCGGGGGAAAGAUUUAUCGCUAAAGGAUUAGCCCGCGUUAGAUUAGGUAGUUGGUGGGGUAAUGGCCUACCAAGCCUACGAUCUAUAGCUGGUCUGAGAGGAUGAUCAGCCACACUGGAACUGAGACACGGUCCAGACUCCUACGGGAGGCAGCAGUGGGGAAUAUUGGACAAUGGGCGAAAGCCUGAUCCAGCCAUGCCGCGUGAGUGAUGAAGGCCUUAGGGUUGUAAAGCUCUUUUACUAGGGAAGAUAAUGACGGUACCUAGAGAAUAAGCACCGGCUAACUUCGUGCCAGCAGCCGCGGUAAUACGAAGGGUGCUAGCGUUGUUCGGAAUUACUGGGCGUAAAGCGCGCGUAGGCGGCGAUUCAAGUCAGAGGUGAAAUCCCAGGGCUCAACCCUGGAAUUGCCUUUGAAACUAGAUCGCUAGAAUCUUGGAGGGGAUAGCGGAAUUCCGAAUGUAGCGGUGAAAUGCGUAGAUAUUCGGAGGAACACCGGUGGCGAAGGCGGCUAUCUGGACAAGUAUUGACGCUGAGGCGCGAAAGCGUGGGGAUCAAACAGGAUUAGAUACCCUGGUAGUCCACGCUGUAAACGAUGGGUGCUAGCUGUUGGGGACAUAGUCUUCGGUGGCGUAGCUAACGCGUUAAGCACCCCGCCUGGGGAGUACGGUCGCAAGAUUAAAACUCAAAGGAAUUGACGGGGACCCGCACAAGCGGUGGAACAUGUGGUUUAAUUCGAGGCAACGCGAAGAACCUUACCAGGCCUUGACAUGCUCUCUAUGAGCUCUUGAAAGAGAGCUCUUCACUUCGGGUGGGAGAUGCACAGGUGCUGCAUGGCUGUCGUCAGCUCGUGUCGUGAGAUGUUGGGUUAAGUCCCGCAACGAGCGCAACCCUCAUCCUUUGUUGCUAACAGGUAAUGCUGAGAACUCUAAGGAAACUGCCGGUGAUAAGCCGGAGGAAGGUGGGGAUGACGUCAAGUCCUCAUGGCCCUUACGGCCUGGGCUACACACGUGUUACAAUGGUGGUGACAAUGCGUCACAAACCUGCAAGGGUAAGCCAAUCGCAAAACGCCAUCUCAGUUCGGAUUGUACUCUGCAACUCGAGUACAUGAAGUUGGAAUCGCUAGUAAUCGCGGAUCAGCACGCCGCGGUGAAUACGUUCCCGGGUCUUGUACACACCGCCCGUCACACCAUGGGAGUUGGUUCUGCCUUAAGCCGUAUAGCUAACCGCAAGGAGGCGUACGACCACGGCAGGGUCAGUGACUGGGGUGAA
rnacentral:rRNA from 1 species